CCGUGGAAAGCACACAUGUUACAAGCGAAGUGAGACUAACAUCUGUCAAGAAGGUGGUUCUCAAGAGACCCAAGCAAGAAGAAUUUAUGAAAAUGAGAAGCAAGUUAGCGGGUAAAGCUUCUUUUGGAAGCCUUUCCAAGGAAAUGGAAGAAGAA